rnacentral:rRNA from 1 species
UGGGGAAUAUUGCACAAUGGGCGAAAGCCUGAUGCAGCGACGCCGCGUGAGGGAUGACGGCCUUCGGGUUGUAAACCUCUUUCAGCAGGGACGAAGCGCAAGUGACGGUACCUGCAGAAGAAGCACCGGCUAACUACGUGCCAGCAGCCGCGGUAAUACGUAGGGUGCAAGCGUUGUCCGGAAUUACUGGGCGUAAAGAGUUCGUAGGCGGUUUGUCGCGUCGUUUGUGAAAACCAGCAGCUCAACUGCUGGCUUGCAGGCGAUACGGGCAGACUUGAGUACUACAGGGGAGACUGGAAUUCCUGGUGUAGCGGUGAAAUGCGCAGAUAUCAGGAGGAACACCGGUGGCGAAGGCGGGUCUCUGGGCAGUAACUGACGCUGAGGAACGAAAGCGUGGGUAGCGAACAGG